AAAAUUAAAAAUUUAAAAAAAAUGAAAAAAAGCCGCAUGCUUGUUUUUUGUUUUUAGUUAUUCUCCAUUGUCAUUAUUACCAAAUAUUGGGGAAAAUACAACUUACAGACCAAUCUCAGGAGUUAAAUGUUACUACGAAGGCAAAUGAACUAUGCGUAAUGAACCUGGUAGGUAUUAUUUAUUGAAUUAUCAGCAUUCCAGAUGUCCAGCACAUUUUUAAUAGGAAAGUAUUGGGAACAGAUGUCAUUAUUUUCAGCGUAGGUUUUAAAACACUCUAGUAUGUCAUAAAUUAUCUUCAAAAGGAUCAUAAAUCUUUUUUAAAGAUCCAUUUUAUUUAAAAUAUAUAAAAAUAAUCCCGCGCCGGGGUUAGGUUGUGGCGCACAUGGCGGGCGGAGCUGGUCCCGUUGUGCUGCGGCGCUGCGCGGCCUGCAGUCCUCGGGCCACGCCCCGUGCCGCCAGCCCUCCAGCCAUGGAGCCCGGCCCCGACGGCCCCGCCGCCUCCGGUCCCACCGCCAUCCGCGAGGGCUGGUUCCGGGAGACCUGCAGCCUGUGGCCCGGCCAGGCCCUUUCGCUGCAGGUGGAGCAGCUGCUCCACCACCGGCGCUCGCGCUACCAGGACAUCCUCGUCUUCCGCAGUAAGACCUAUGGCAACGUGCUGGUGUUGGACGGUGUCAUCCAGUGCACAGAGAGAGACGAGUUCUACGAGGAGAUGAUCGCCAACCUGCCUCACUGCAGCCACUCCAACCCGCGAAGGGUGCUGAUCAUCGGGGGCCGAGAUAGAGGUGUCCUGCGUGAGGUGGUGAAGCAUCCCUCCGUGGAGUCCGUGGUCCAGUGUGAGAUCGACGAGGAUGUCAUCCAAGUCUCCAAGAAGUUCCUGCCAGGCAUGGCCUUUGGCUACUCUAGCUCGAAGCUGACCCUACAUGUGGGUGACGAUUUUGAGUUCAUGAAACAGAAUCAGGAUGCCUUCGAUGUGAUCAUCACUGACUCCUCAGACCCCAUGGGCCCCGCCGAAACUCUCUUCAAGGAGUCCUAUUACCAGCUCAUGAAGACAGCCCUCAAGGAAGAUGGUGUCCUCUGCUGCCAGGGCGAGUGCCAGUGGCUGCACCUGGACCUCAUCAAGGAGAUGCAGCAGUUCUGCCAGUCCUUGUUCCCCAUGGUGGCCUACGCCUACUGCACCAUCCCCACCUACCCCAGCGGCCAGAUCGGCUUCAUGCCCUGCAGCAAAAACCCAAGCACCAACUUCAGGAGCCGGUGUAGCCGCUGAUGCAGCAGCAGGUGGCGCAGAUGCAACUGAAGUACUACAACUCCGAUGUGCACCGCGCUGCCUUGGUGCUGCCCGAGUUUGCCCGCAAGGCCCUGAAUGAUGUGAGCUGAGCCCAGGCGCCACCACUGAUGCCACCCAGGACCUCGGACCUUGGAGCCUGCGGGGUGCCUUGGCCCCUCCAGCCCUGGGCCAGACCUCCUGCCGGCUCUCGCCCACCAACCAAGUGUUACAAGCCCCAGAAUGCUGCCCGGCCUGCCCUGCUGGGCGGACUGUCUGUAUGUCUGUCUCUCUGGCGUUCCACCUCCAAGCCUAUACCAGCUGUGUACAGCGCCAUCUCUCUGCCUUCUGUUGCCCCUCACUCACGAAACACGUAUUUAUAGCAAAGAAAAAAAAAUAAUAAUCACGGCACUCUAGCCUGGGUGACAGAGUGAGAUUCUGUUUCAAUAAAAAAAAACUAUAGCAUCAGUCUUUUCUAGGUUAUUUUCAGAAAUUUCAAACAAUGGGAAAAGAAUGGAAGAACUUUUGAGGGGAGCUGAGGAACACGAAAAAAGAUCAGUUCACAGUCAUGUAAAUAAAAAGUCAUGUUACUUGUUUUUUCUCUUUUGACGGAAAUAUGUAAUAUCUUUAUCCAAUUUUAAAAUCAAAGUAUGUGCAUAGAAUGUAAAGACAAGGAAUGCUAAAAGUACAUUUAUCACUUAAUGGCAGGGAUAUGUUAUGGUAAGUGCAAUGUUAAGUGAUUUUGUUGUGCGAGCAUCAUAAAGUAAUACUUACACAAACGUAGAUGGUCUAGCCUUCUGCACACCUACGCUACAAAGCUGUAAAGUAUGUUACUGUACUAAAUACUGUAGGGAAUUGUAACAGUGGUAUUUGUGUAUCUAAACAUCGAAAAAGUAACAACAGAGUAUAAAAGAUUUUUAGU